UACGUAGGGCGCAAGCGUUAUCCGGAAUUAUUGGGCGUAAAGAGCGUGUAGGCGGCCGUACAGGUCAGCUGUGAAAACUCGAGGCUCAACCUCGAGACGUCGGUUGAAACCGUACGGCUAGAGUCCGGAAGAGGAGAGUGGAAUUCCCGGUGUAGCGGUGAAAUGCGCAGAUAUCGGGAAGAACACCCGUGGCGAAGGCGGCUCUCUGGGACGGUACUGACGCUGAGACGCGAAAGCGUGGGGAGCGAACAGG
rnacentral:rRNA from 1 species